AAUAUUGCACAAUGGGCGAAAGCCUGAUCCAGCCAUGCCGCGUGUGUGAAGAAGGUCUUCGGAUUGUAAAGCACUUUAAGUUGGGAGGAAGGGCGUCAAGCUAAUACCGUGAUGAUUUGACCUUACCAACAGCAUAAGCACCGGCUAACUCUGUGCCCGCAGCCGCGGUAAUACAGAGGGUGCAAGCGUUAAUCGGAAUUACUGGGCUUAACGCGCGCGUAGGUGGUUUGUUAAGUUGGAAGUGAAAGCCCCGGGCUCAACCUGGGAACUGCUUUCAUAACUGCUGAGCUAGAGUACGGUAGAGGGUGGUGGAAUUUCCUGUGUAGCGGUGAAAUGCGUAGAUAUAGGAAGGAACACCAGUGGCGAAGGCGACCACCUGGGCUAAUACUGACACUGAGGUGCGAAAGCGUGGGGAGCAAAC
rnacentral:rRNA from 1 species